UAGGGCAUUUCCUUUGGUUUAUUAAGUUUUUUUUUCCACAUUCCUUUCUCUGUCUGGAUUUUUACAUGCUUCCAUACGUCUACAGUCUUGACUCUUUGUGUCCCCUAAAAUUCAUAGGUUAGAAUCCUUAUCACAAGGUCAUGGAAUUAAGAGGUGAUCAGGUCAUGAGCCCUCAUAGGUGGGAUUAGUGCUUUUAUAAAAGAGGCCCAAGGGAGCCGGUUGUCUUUCUGCUGUGAGAGGACAGAACAUCUGAGUUGGGAAACAGGCCCCACCAGGCCCCAAACCUGCCAGUGGGAGAUGCACCGAGCUCACAUUGCCUGCGCUGGACUUUCAGAGCAGCUAAGGAAACCUCCCUGUUGCUUAUAAUGGCAACUCAUAAGGAAAAACUCAUUGCACCAGUUGCAGAAGAAGAAGCAGCGGUCCCAAACAAUAAGAUCACGAUAGUGGGCGUUGGACAAGUUGGCAUGGCGUGUGCUAUCAGCAUUCUCGGAAAGUCUCUGGCUGAUGAACUUGCUCUUGUGGAUGUUCUGGAAGAUAGGGUUAAAGGAGAAAUGAUGGAGCUGCAGCAUGGGAGCUUAUUUCUUCAGACACCUAAAAUUGUGGCAGAUAAAGAUUAUUCUGUGAUUGCCAAUUCUAAGAUUGUGGUGGUAACUGCACGUGUCCUGUCAGCAAGAGGGGGAGAGUCGUCUCAAUCUGGUGCAGAGAAAUGUUAAUGUCUUCAAGUUCAUUGUUCCUCAGAUCGUCAAGUACAGUCCUGAUUGCAUCAUAAUUGUUGUUUCCAAUCCAGUGGACAUUCUUACAUAUCUUACCUGGAAACUUAAGUGGAUUACCCAAAUACCGUGUGAUUGGAAGUGGGUGCAACCUGGAUUCUGCUAGAUUUCGCUAUCUUAUGGCUGAAAAGCUUGGCAUUCAUCCCAGCAGCUGCCACAGAUGGAUUUUGGGAGAACAUGGCGACUCAAGCAUGGCUGUGUGGAGUGGAGUAAAUGUGGCUGGUGUUUCUCUCCAGGAAUUGAAUCCAGAAAUGGGAACAGACAAUGAUAGUGAAAAUUGGAAAGAAGUGCAUAAGAUGGUGGUUGAGAGUACCUAUGACGUCAUAAAGCUAAAAGGAUAUACUAACUGGGCAAUUGGAUGAAGUGUAGCUGAUCUUAUUAAAUCCAUGCUGAAAAAUCUAUCCAGGAUUCACCCAGUAUCCACAAUGGUGAUGGGGAUGUACGGUAUUGAGAAUGAAGUCUUCCUGAGCCUUCACGUAUCCUCAACACUCGGGGAUUAACUAGCGUCAUCAACCAGAAACUAAAGGAUGAAGAGGUUGCUCAGUUCAAGAAAAGUGCAGAUACCCUGUGGGACAUCCAGAAGGACCUGAAAGACCUGUGACUGCUGAACUCUAGGCUGUGGGAAUUCAAAAACUACCAUCUGAUUAACCCUGAGCCUUUAGUUUUCAGCCAGGUACAUGGAUCAUAGUUUGCUUUUAUCUCCCUUAAUAUGUGAAUGUGGGCUCACAGAAUCCAAGCCCAGGCUUGAUUUAAUGCUUGCAAAAUGAG